UUUCUAUGACGUUAGCGGCGGACGGGUGAGUAACACGUGGGCAACCUGCCUGUAAGACUGGGAUAACUUCGGGAAACCGAAGCUAAUACCGGAUAGGAUCUUCUCCUUCAUGGGAGAUGAUUGAAAGAUGGUUUCGGCUAUCACUUACAGAUGGGCCCGCGGUGCAUUAGCUAGUUGGUGAGGUAACGGCUCACCAAGGCAACGAUGCAUAGCCGACCUGAGAGGGUGAUCGGCCACACUGGGACUGAGACACGGCCCAGACUCCUACGGGAGGCAGCAGUAGGGAAUCUUCCGCAAUGGACGAAAGUCUGACGGAGCAACGCCGCGUGAGUGAUGAAGGCUUUCGGGUCGUAAAACUCUGUUGUUAGGGAAGAACAAGUACAAGAGUAACUGCUUGUACCUUGACGGUACCUAACCAGAAAGCCACGGCUAACUACGUGCCAGCAGCCGCGGUAAUACGUAGGUGGCAAGCGUUAUCCGGAAUUAUUGGGCGUAAAGCGCGCGCAGGCGGUUUCUUAAGUCUGAUGUGAAAGCCCACGGCUCAACCGUGGAGGGUCAUUGGAAACUGGGGGAACUUGAGUGCAGAAGAGAAAAGCGGAAUUCCACGUGUAGCGGUGAAAUGCGUAGAGAUGUGGAGGAACACCAGUGGCGAAGGCGGCUUUUUGGUCUGUAACUGACGCUGAGGCGCGAAAGCGUGGGGGAGCAAACAGGAUUAGAUACCCUGGUAGUCCACGCCGUAAACGAUGAGUGCUAAGUGUUAGAGGGUUU
rnacentral:rRNA from 1 species